rnacentral:misc_RNA from 1 species
GUCAUCUAUGAUGUUACUCUACUUUCCUCUUAGUUCUUCUUCACCUAGUUCUCCCUCUCAGUCUCACUCGUCCUUUCUCUCACAAUUUGCCUUCCCUUCACCUUCCUCUCACUCCUAAAAAUAUGCAUUGCAAAUGUGUCACAAAAAGCUAGAGAGUCAUUUACUCACAUAGAUGUGUCUUAAAGAGCUGGAGAGUCCAAGAUCCAGUGGCAAGCAGAAGUGUGGCGAGGGAUGCUAAUGAAGACUAUCGAUAGUGAUCUAUUUGGCUUUUGCUUUUACACUUUGGUUCUUAAAGGGUGCUUCAAUUCUUCUAGUUCUUUGGUUCCUUAGUUUACAUUUUGAAAAUUUGUUGAAAUUUCAUCAAUUUGUUGCUAUAUGAUUAAUUAAUUUUGGUUUUUACUAUUGGACAGAUUAAAUUUGUU